UACGGAGGGUGCGAGCGUUGUCCGGAAUCACUGGGCGUAAAGGGCGCGUAGGCGGCUUCUCAAGCGUGUGGUGAAAGUCCGGGGCUCAACCCCGGAUCGGCCGUGCGGACUGGGGAGCUCGAGUUCUGUAGAGGCGGGUGGAAUUCCGGGUGUAGCGGUGGAAUGCGUAGAUAUCCGGAGGAACACCGGUGGCGAAGGCGGCUUCCUGGACCGACACUGACGCUGAGGCGCGAAAGCUAGGGGAGCAAACGGG
rnacentral:rRNA from 1 species